rnacentral:rRNA from 1 species
AUUGAACGCUGGCGGCAUGCCUUACACAUGCAAGUCGAACGGCAGCACGGGUGCUUGCCCCUGGUGGCGAGUGGCGAACGGGUGAGUAAUACAUCGGAACAUGUCCUGUAGUGGGGGAUAGCCCGGCGAAAGCCGGAUUAAUACCGCAUACGAUCUACGGAUGACAGCGGGGGACCUUCGGGCCUCGCGCUAUCGGGUUGGCCGAUGGCUGAUUAGCUAGUUGGUGGGGUAAAGGCCUACCAAGGCGACGAUCAGCAGCUGGUCUGAGAGGACGACCAGCCACACUGGGACUGAGACACGGCCCAGACUCCUACGGGAGGCAGCAGUGGGGAAUUUUGGACAAUGGGCGAAAGCCUGAUCCAGCAAUGCCGCGUGUGUGAAGAAGGCCUUCGGGUUGUAAAGCACUUUUGUCCGGAAAGAAAUCCUUGGCCCUAAUACGGUCGGGGGAUGACGGUACCGGAAGAAUAAGCACCGGCUAACUACGUG